rnacentral:rRNA from 1 species
AUUGAACGCUGGCGGCAUGCCUUACACAUGCAAGUCGAACGGCAGCACGGGAGCAAUCCUGGUGGCGAGUGGCGAACGGGUGAGUAAAGUAUCGGAACGUGCCCAGUCGUGGGGGAUAACGUAGCGAAAGUUACGCUAAUACCGCAUACGAUCUAUGGAUGAAAGCGGGGGAUCGCAAGACCUCGCGCGAUUGGAGCGGCCGAUAUCAGAUUAGGUAGUUGGUGGGGUAAAGGCUCACCAAGCCGACGAUCUGUAGCUGGUCUGAGAGGACGACCAGCCACACUGGGACUGAGACACGGCCCAGACUCCUACGGGAGGCAGCAGUGGGGAAUUUUGGACAAUGGGCGAAAGCCUGGUCCAGCCAUGCCGCGUGCAGGAUGAAGGCCUUCGGGUUGCAAACUGCUUUUGUACGGAACGAAAAGGUUUGGGCUAAUAAGCUGAGCUCAUGACGGUACCGUAAGAAUAAGCACCGGCUAACUACGUGCCAGCCGCCGCGGUGA